ensembl:lncRNA
CAGAUCUUUGUGGGGGUAAGAGCUGGGGGCGGUUUAUGGUGCUGCUGCAGGAGUUGAACUUUGAAGCAGCCGGAGCAGAGCAAACGAACGGGCUGGGCGAGCAGUUCCUGGAAGGGUUUUACAGGCGCUGAGGGCAGGAUGGAGGAAAGAACCAGGCCGUUAAAAAAGAGAGACAAAGGUAUCGUCACAGCCAAGCAAUGGAGGGGAGUAGACGAAGAGGCCAGAGAAAGAGGCCGGGGCUUUAGAUCAAGGAGACGAUACGCGGUGCCAUGCAGUUUUUUGACAAAGUGACUCAAAGUGUGGGACUGUGAGAAAAGCUAAAGUAACUGAUGAAAGACGACCCUGGCAGCAGUGUUUUGGACAGACCGAGGAGAGUCAAAAUUAGUCACAAGACACUUCCUGCCUCAGCUGCUUCAUCUGUAGAAGGCAGCAUCGAGAGCAUCCGAGGAAUGAGAUGACCCUACAUGUUCAGUGCCGCACAGUAAGGAAAUGGUAUCUGGAGCCCUUGUACAGCACUAGUUGGCUUUUAUAACACUGGGGAUAACAGCUUACAGUCUCUUCCUUCCAACGUCUUCUGUUUCACUCUUUACCUCCCCAUACUCCUCUUUGGCACCAUGCACGCUCGCUACUGAAAAAGAAGAGGUGCCUCCACUUGGAUAAUAUCUCAAAGACCAGCGCGGGGAAAAAUGUAUGCUGUAACCCAACAGAGAGGACUUUUAUUGUAACUCUUUAUUUUUACCGGAGCUCUUCUCCAGGAUUUCAAACAAGGCUUUGGCUGACUCUAAGCAAACAGCGCCCUUUGUUUUCAAAGGAGCAGCGCACAGAUCUUCCCACACACAAGAAAGGAAGAGGCUAUUUCAGUCGGAGUUGCUUUAUGGGCUUUUCCCGUGACGGUUUCACUCCUGCUGCUUUCUGUGAGCAGGCAGACAGGGGAUUCGGUUUCCUCGGCAGCGCCUGAUGUCGGCUAAAACUCACCACGUACAAUUGCUUGGUGCAGGUUUUUUUAGAUGCAUUGUCCCCAUAUACAGAUGAGGAGACAGCCUGUGAUACAACCACAUGCGAUUUUGAAGAUCAGGAAUGAAGUCUCGUUUUGACACCAACGGAGGCCGCCCUUGCUGCUACGACCCGAUCCUAUUCUCUGUAAGUGGGAGUUUUCAGGCAGUUUCCACAGUGGACUACAAAGGCCAGGAAAAUAGUGCAUCUUAAUCCAGUCCUGGGUCUGCAAAAUGGAGCACAAUCACUGAGAAAGCAACCCCAGCUGGUCACUGGGUUCCUGCUCUCCGACAGCAAAAUGGAGAGGAGCCGAGCUAUAAAAUGCCAGGUGAGUGUAAUUAGCUUGUUCCCGCUAAAGAUAAACCCCAGCUUUAUCUAAUUUUGUUUUUAACAGAUCUUUGAAAGUGCCAGCAAAGCAACGGACGUAAGGGAAUCUAGGAAAAGCUGUAAGAAGAAGGUGGUGGAUGAGCUAUGGAGCCUUUAAAGCUUGGGAAAUUGAAGUGUUAGUGCCUGCACCAGCUUGGACUUCUGAUGAGGCUUCUGCAAGCCUAAUUGGGUAAACUGUCCAUGUUGACUUAUAAUAGGGAAAAUAUUUCCCCGGUUUUAGAUUAAAAUGGGA